rnacentral:rRNA from 1 species
UAGGGAAUCUUCGGCAAUGGGGGGAACCCUGACCGAGCAACGCCGCGUGAGUGAAGAAGGUUUUCGGAUCGUAAAGCUCUGUUGUUAAGGAAGAACGAGUGUGAGAAUGGAAAGUUCAUGCUGUGACGGUACUUAACCAGAAAGGGACGGCUAACUACGUGCCAGCAGCCGCGGUAAUACGUAGGUCCCGAGCGUUGUCCGGAUUUAUUGGGCGUAAAGCGAGCGCAGGCGGUCAAUUAAGUCUGAUGUGAAAGCCCACGGCUCAACCGUGGAGGGUCAUUGGAAACUGGAAAACUUGAGUGCAGAAGAGGAAAGUGGAAUUCCAUGUGUAGCGGUGAAAUGCGCAGAGAUAUGGAGGAACACCAGUGGCGAAGGCGACUUUCUGGUCUGUAACUGACGCUGAUGUGCGAAAGCGUGGGGAUCAAACAGG